AGACAGAUUCAGCAUCUCAGAGAUUUCAAAGGAAGGUCACCUGCUUGUUUGCCAAGGACACAGUAGCCUGUACUCACUGCCUGUUUACUCAAGCGAAAGGGCUCAGACUGCUUCCUCUAAUGGUUGCAGAGAAGAGCUGAAGCUUUGUCAGCUGAGCCUUUGAGAUCCGGCUGGCUGUGAAUGAAUAAUUAAACUCCUGCCAAUGCAAAGGGAUCGGUAGCUGACCUCCUGUGACUGAUCAGCUUCCCAUUAGCUCUGCCUGACUGCAGACCCUCCAGCCCUGAUAAGUCCUCCAGCAGCCCGUUGGCCUCAGCACCCACUCCUGCCUCUGCUAAGAAAACCAACCACCAGGACUACCAGAUAGUAUCAAGAAACUGAAACUCACCAGAUCACUGCUUCUGGACUAUGAGAUGUCAGAUCCCUCACCUGUCAUGAUUGCCUAACUGACCACCUGCUUCCUGUUGACCAGCUCCUCUUCCCUACCCUCCUUAGGUCUUGUUUUCCCACACAUUGUUACAUUUCUUCCUUGCUCUAUAAACCUCUAAUUGUAGUCAACUGGGGAGAUGGAUGUAGGACUGAUCUCCCAUCUCCUUGGCUGCAGCACCUGAUUAAAGCCUUCUUUCCUGGCAGUACCCAUUGUCUCAGUGAUUGCCUUUCUGUGUGAUGAGCAGCAGGACGUAGGCCAAACCCCUGGUAUUUCAGCAGCAUUUCCUUCUUGGAACACAGUCCCAUAUCGUAAGGAGUCCAAUCCACAUGGAGAGGCCAGGUGGAAGAGAGUAGAGACACUCAGUCUAUAGUCCCAGCUUAACUCCCAGCUAACAGCCAACAUCAACCACCAGCCAUGUAAGUUCUCCACUGUGGACAUUCAGCUCAGCCAAGGCCCCACCCAGUUGACUAGAGUCCCAGAUGACAUCACAUGCAAAGAGCCACCCAGGUGAACCAAG